rnacentral:rRNA from 1 species
GUCGCAGGAGGCUUAAGUGAGGGCCUUGAACACAUCAGGCUGGUUGUUAAGGUAAAAGCCUACCCAAGCUAAUACCGUUUAGGGGGUCCGAAAGGAUAACCCCCCCACUGAACUUCCACACGUCCAGGAUUCCUACGGGGAGGCAGCAGUUUGGAAAUUUUGACCAAUAGGGCGAAAGCCUGAUCCCAGCGACGGCCGCCGUGGAACGAUGAAGGCCUUCGGGUCGUAAAAGUCCUUUAGAUCGGGAACAAUAUUUUGAGCGUACACGAGAGAAUAAAGAGGUUGCUAACUCUGUGCCAGCAGCAGCGGUAAUACAGAGACCUCAAGCGUUAUCCGGAAUCAUUGGGCGUAAAGCGUACCGAUAGGUGGUUUUACAAGUCAGAAGUGAAAUCUCUCAGCUCAACUGGGAGACUGUCUUUUGAAACUGUAAAACUAGAAGGGCAAAGAGGAAGCUGGAACGAACGGUGUAGUAGUGAAAUGCGUUGAUAUCGUUCGGAACACCAAUAGCGUAGGCAGGCUUCUGGGUGCCACUUGACACUGCUAGGACGAAAGCGUGGGUAGCGAAUGGGAUUARAUACCCCAGUAGUCCACGCUGUAAACGAUGAUGAYUAGGUUCUAGAGAGUAUCGACCCUCUUUAGUACCAUAGCUAACGCGUUAAAUCAUCCGCUGGAUUAGCACGGCCGCAAGGCUAAAACUCAAAGGAAUUGACGGGGACCUGCACAAGCGGUGGAGCAUGUGGUUUAAUUCGACGGUAAGCGAGGAACCUUACCAAGGCUUGACAUGUAGCUGCAUCCCUCAGAUAUGAGGGCGCCUUCGAGGGUGCUACACAGGUGCUGCACGGUUGUCGUCAGCUCGUGCCGUGAGGUGUUCACUUAAGUGUGAAAACGAGCGCAACCCCUACGGUGAGUU